UACUGGCUCAGGAUGAACGCUAGCUACAGGCUUAACACAUGCAAGUCGAGGGGCAGCAUUGGGAUAGCUUGCUAUUCAGAUGGCGACCGGCGCACGGGUGAGUAACGCGUAUCCAACCUUCCUGCCAGUAGGGAACAGCCCGGCGAAAGUCGGAUUAAUGCCCUAUGUUCUUCAAUGCGGACAUCUAAGUUGAAGGAAAGAUUCAUCGCUGGCAGAUGGGGAUGCGUCCGAUUAGCUUGCCGGCGGGGUAACGGCCCACCGGGGCGACGAUCGGUAGGGGUUCUGAGAGGAAGGUCCCCCACACUGGUACUGAGACACGGACCAGACUCCUACGGGAGGCAGCAGUGAGGAAUAUUGGUCAAUGGGCGUAAGCCUGAACCAGCCAAGUAGCGUGCCAGGAUGACGGCCCUACGGGUUGUAAACUGCUUUUAUGCGGGGAUAAAGUGCGGCACGUGUGCCGCUUUGCAGGUACCGCAUGAAUAAGGACCGGCUAAUUCCGUGCCAGCCGCCGC
rnacentral:rRNA from 1 species